UACAGAGGUCUCAAGCGUUGUUCGGAUUCAUUGGGCGUAAAGGGUGCGUAGGCGGCGCGGUAAGUCGGGUGUGAAAUCUCGGGGCUUAACUCCGAAACUGCAUUCGAUACUACCGUGCUUGAGGACUGGAGAGGAGACUGGAAUUUACGGUGUAGCGGUGAAAUGCGCAGAUAUCAGGAAGAACACCAAUGGCGAAGGCAGCUCUCUGGGACGGUACUGACGCUGAGACGCGAAAGCGUGGGGAGCGAACAGG
rnacentral:rRNA from 1 species